GUGGCUCGGGCCCGCCCCCAUCUCAACACCCCAGGCUAGUCUAGGAGGCUAGCGCAAACGCAGCGGGUGGCGGGGGUAGGGGCUCAUUGGGAGCCCACGGAGUGCGGCGGCGGCUCGGGGGCCGAGUUCCCUACAACAAGGAUGGCGGUGACGGGCGCAGGGAGCGGGGCCCGGCUCUCCUUGCCUCGAGGCUCCUCUGAUUCCACUCGCGUGGCUGCGCGGCCCUGGCAGCGGCCUUCGUCCCGGGGGUGGGACCUACACAGGGUUCCGCCCCGUCCUGGCGAGGACGCCUGAGGGGGCUCUGUGAUAAAGAAAUGGGGGCUCAGAGCAGUCAAGAAGAACAUGCCCCAAGUUGUUCGUCAGUGAGGCGGAAAUUGUGGUGUCCUUGUUUUCUGUGGGUCAGGAGAUCAGAAAUGGUUCUAUUUCAAGGUCUCUCACAGGGCUGCAAUCAAGAUGUUGGCAUGGCUGGGGUCUCAUUUGAAGGCUGGACUGGAGAAGAAUCUAAUUCCAAACUUAUGUGGUAGUUGGAAGAACUUAGUUCCUCAAGGCCGCUAAACUGAUGGCCUGUGUUCCUUGCCUCUGGGAUGGUAGCUUGCUUCAACAAAGUGUGCAAGCAGAGAAGACAGAGUCUGCUGGCAAGAUAGAAGCCACAAUCUCUUGUAAUCUAUCAUUUUUGCUGUAGUCUACUGGUUAAAAAUAACUCAUUAGGUUAGCCUACUGGCUCUCAAGGGGAAGAGAUUAUACAAAGGCAUGCAUUUCUGGAGGAGGGAAUGAGGGCAAAGAAUCCUGAGAAGUCUGUCUUCCAAAAUCUGAAGAACUUCUAGAAAGUAGGAGGAAGCGAUAUUGCUUAGGGAUGGACAACUUGGCACUGGUUAUGUAUUUCAAGUGAGGUAACCUUGUUCCCAAGAAUAAAGAGAACCAGACGACUGUAAACAUUUCCCUAAACUGAAAUGCAGACUGUUGUAUGUUCCCCUGAAAUGAAUGGUGUAAGCUGAAUAUAAGAUUUUUGACAAAAUAAAAAUUUUGCUGUGUUCUCAGGUCUGGCAGGCUCCUGCCCUUGUGCAAACAAUGUUCCUGGCAGCUAUUCAUCUCCUUAGGUAAAUAAGAAUUGGAGAAAAGCUGUGCUGAGAUAGGAUGCAUUUGCUCUUGCCUUGGAAGGUUGUUUUCUGAUAAGGUUCUAUAUCCUCUGCAAAUCAAAUCAGGCACUUACAGUGUGAGUAUGCAUUCUCUUCCUGCCAGUCUGGAGAUGAUCAAAAAGCCUAUAACAGGCUUGGCCUAUUUUCCUAUUGGGUUGCUGGGCUUUUUUUUCAUCUUUAUUUACUUGUAGAGAAUUUUAGACCUCUGUGUAUGUAUGGUGUACAAGUGACAAUAUUCAGAUCUGUAAACUGUAACGCAGUCUGGGAGCAAAGAAGAUAUAGAAAAAUGAGUUUUACUUCCUGCUUGAGUAGUAAAAUUGAGAUUCAAAUUUUGCAUAUAGAAGUACUAUAUGGCUAACUUAUUUGGGGAGCAAAACUGACUUACCGUAAGUCUACCUGAAAUAGAAAUGAAACACUCAAUUUGUGAAAUAUGCUGAGUUUUAAUGCGUGUGGGGGCAAGGUGAAUUAACAUUUGUGAUGCAAGGAGAGGAGCAAUCUAUACUUACCAGUGUCUAUUUGACAUUGGGGACUACUGUUACACUCUAAGUCAUUUUACCUUAUAACGCAGAGUUGUAACACGCUACUCUGAGCAGCUCAUGACAUCUGCUUGAAAUUUAAGUUGGGCCCCUAAUAUGUGUUUAUUAUAAGGACUUUGAUGCUGCUUUUCCGAGUUGGGUAACCUACUUUACCCCCUAAGCUAAUGUUUCCCAAAUACACCCAAACCCACAGAAAGGAAAACUAUUCCUCAUUAACUUACAGCCAACAUCAUAAACAUUUUAUAUCUAGAGCUGAUGAUACAGUCAGGUAUUUACCAACACUCAUGUAUAUAUGUAGAGUUUCAAGAAAUUGCUUACCCUUACUAGAUGCAACAUAUUCUAAUGUUUGACAUAUUAUUUUUAUUUCUUAAUUUUUUUUUAAAGAUGGGGUUUUACUCUGUUGCCCAGGCUGAAAUGCAGUGGCAUGACCAGGAUUUCGACCAGAAGUUUGACUGCAGCCUCGAACUCCUUAUAACAAUCCUGCUGCCUUAGCCUCCUGAGUAGCUAGGACUAUGGACACAUGCCACCAGAUCUGGCAUAUUUUAAAAUUUUUGCAGACAUAGGGUCUCACCAUGUUGCUCAGGCUGAUUCUGAACUCCUGUUCUCAAGCAAUCCUCCUGCCUGGUCUUCCCAAACUGUUGGGCUUACAGGUGUGAGUCACUGAGCCCAGCUUGUAUUCUUUUGAUUUUAAAAAAAUAUUCUGAAUGUAAUCCACCAAAUUAAUUUCACCAUCCACUAAUAGGUAGCAACCUGAAUGAAAAAUACUGUUAUAAACUUUACACAAAACCAGAGAUUAUAAACAUUUGCUUCCAAGGAGAUGAGAGAGGCAAAAGGUACUUGUUUGCUCUGAUGGGCCCUGUUUCCUUCAGUGCCAGGAAGAGUGGCUCUCAGACCUUUCUUCUGGCAUCCCUCAUGUAUGCAGUGUUGGUUAUUAUUUUCAAGGCCUUGGUAACAAAAUGCCCCUAGUGUGACCAGUCAGACUGACAGUCCAUAUCUGUAAUAUGGUGGUAAGUUUCCUUUGCAUGUCUUUCUUUCUUGCAUCUUAGACCUUUUACCUAGGAAAUUUUCUUUUUGCUUGAAGUACAUCAUUAAGAAUUUUCAGUGAAGGCAGAUUCUUAAAGUUUUUGUUUUCCAGAAGAGAUCUUGGAAAAUAUAAAAGGUUGGCAGGUAUUUCUUUUAGUACAUGAGAUAGUAUUACACCAAUGCUGUUGAGAAGUCUAUUGUGAGGCAAUGUGUCUUCUUUCUCUGGCUGCUUUUGAGAUUUCUGUCUGUCUUUUUUAGGGGCAGUUUUACUCUUAUGUGACUAGAAGUAGAUUUCUUCUUUUUUUUUUAAUACUGCUUGAGAUUUUAUUGGGGUUUUGAAUCUGUGGAUAGAUAUCCUUCAACAGUUCUGAAAGAUUUCCAGCCAUUCUCUUCAUAUAUUAUCUGUGCUGUAUUCUUGUCUCUCCUUUUAGAACUUCGAUUAGUAAAACCAUGUUUGAUGUCUUUUCCCACUAUUGUUUUUUGUUUCUCCCAUGCUGAAUUCUGUGUAAUUUCUUUUGAACCAUCUUGUAGUUUACAUUCUUUUUUUUUUUUGAGACAGGGUUUUGCUCUUGUUGCUCGGGCUGGAGUGCAAUGGCACCAUCUCGGCUCACUGCAACCUCUGCCUCCUGGGUUCAAGCGAUUCUCCUACCUCAGCCUCCCAAGUAGCUGGGAUUACAGGCAUGCGCCACCACGCCCAGCUAAUUUUUGUAUUCUGAGUAGAGACGGGGUUUCACCAUGUUGGCCAGGCUGGUCUCGAACUCCUGACCUCAGGUGAUCUACCCUCCUCAGCCUCCCAAAGUGCUGGAUUACAGGGGUGAGCCACCGCACCAGGCCUUACAUUCUCUCUCUUUAAGAGAGAAUGUAAGGUAUCUAAAUCUGCUGCUAAACCAUCAUUGUUUUUAAUUGUAAUAAGGUCUUUUUUAUGUACUCACAUUGAUAAGAGACAAGUAGGAAAUAAUCUUUAAAGGGCAAACUAAUUUAAAUGUGUUUUCCUGUCUGUUUACAGGACUUAACAAAUGCACAUCUUAGAGUUCUGGGUUUCUAAUGCGUAUCUCCUCUAUGAAAUUCUUUAAAAAUAUCUGUUAUUGGUAUCCCUUAGGUUAGUCUCUUUUAGAACUUCUAAAUCAAUGGACCCUUAACUUACAGGAGCCACCUGGACGUUAGCAACGUCUACAUUAAACAUGCUGAGCUUUUAAAAGAGGCCUGUUAGACAUGCUGAGUAUUUUGAGAUAAUAUCAUUGUUGUAUUGAAAACUUUUGAAAACUUUAAUUUUAAAAUGCAAACGUUCUUAAAGUCCUGGUUAAUUUUAUAACUAUAAAAUUAGUUAUAAUUUUGAGAUUUCUGUCUUGUUUUUUUAUAGGGGCAGUUUUACUCUUAGGUGACUAGAUUUCUUCUUUUUUAUAACCAUAAAAUUAGGUUUACUUUUCUUAGAAUAAAUUAAAGACAGUGAAUUUGUAAUUUGAAUAACUACUAAAAAUAUACAUGAUGUAUUCUUAUUUGGGCCCUUGUGACGAAAAUACUAUUGUGGCUAUAGAAACUUAUCCUAUAGUUUGAAGAACUGAGAUUACUGUCAGUAUUGAGAACAUUCCUCCUUCAUCAUUAGAAAGAUUAUAAAAAACCAGAUUCAAAGAAACUAUCAAUACUACUUAUGAAGUAUGUCUGUAAAAAAAAUUAAGCCUGAAUCUUAUCAGGCCUCUAGACCAGGGGUUCUCAAGGUAUGGGCCCCAGACCAGAAGUAUCAGCAACAAAUUGCUAAAAAUGCAGAAUCUUGGGUCAGAAACUGGGGACCAGCAAUUGGAAUUUUAGUAAGUAUACCAGAUGAUUCAUAUGCCUGCUCAAUUUUGAGGAUGACUCCUAUCAGUUUAGUUAUUAGGAUUUACAGGGGAUGGGGAACAUGUUAAAGAGCACCAACUAGAUAAGGUCAAUCAGUCAAAAGUAAGAUGUCUGGACAUUCUGGGCCUCCUGAUGUCUUAGAAAGCACACAAUACCAUCUAUGAUGUGUUUUUGUCCACCAUCCCACCCAAUUGCACCUGGAUCUUCCUAUUUAUAGGCAAUUGGAACAAGUUCAGUGUUACCCUGUAAUGAUUAAAACCCAAAUAUAGGACUGCUAUAGCAUAAACGACCACUUUCUUCAAUUAAUAAGUGGCACAUUAAAAAUAUAUUUAUAUAUAUAAUUGUUAUAGAUGAAAAAACAACAAAAUGGCCGGGUGUGGUGGCUCACACCUGUAAUCCCAGCACUUUGGGAGGCCAAGGCGGGCAGAUCACAAGGUCAGGAGAUUGAGACCAUCCUGGCCAACAUGGUGAAACCUCGUCUCUACUAAAAAUAGAAAAAUUAGCUGGCGUGCAUCUGUAGUCCCAGCUGCUGGGGAGGCUGAGGCAGGAGAAUCGCUUGAAUCCGGGAGGCGGAGGUUGCAGUGAGCCAUGAUUGGACCACUGCACUCAAGCCAGGGUGACAGAGCAACACUACGUCUCAAACAAACAAAAACACAACAACAAAAUAAAGCUUAAGGAACAUCAACCAAAUGCAAUAUAUGAGCCCUAUUUAGGAUACUAUAAAAAGACAUUCACAAUAACAUAGGCAAAAUGAACAUAAACUAGGUAUAGGUGACAGAGAAAUCCAAUAAACAUUGAAUUAUUCACUGGGGAAAGAAAUGACGUGUGGGAUUUAAGUCUAUAACUCUCCCGUAUUUACGCCAAAAGAUUGUCCGAGUUGAAAACUGUUAGAGAUGGGUGACAACUCAAGAGAGAUUAUAGUGUCUUCCUUGUAUGCUUGUAAAUGUCAAAAAUAAAAGUAAUUUAAAACUAAAACAAAAAUGAAACCGUAAUUCUUAAGAUGCAGCUUGAAUUCAGUUAACUAUAGCAGUUGUAUAUGAAGCAUUUCAAAGAAGUUAAUGACAUCACAGUAUUAAAUCCAUCUGACAUGGAAACCAACUCUAACUACAUCAUAGUUUUUUUUUUUUUUUUGAGAUGGAGUCUCGCUCUGCCGUCAGGCUGGAGUACAGUGGCGUGACAGCUCACUGCAACCUCCGCCUCCUGCGUUUGAGCAAUUCUCCUGCCUCAGCCUCCUGAGUAGCUGGGACUACAGGCGCAUGCCACCACGUCCAGCUAAUUUUUGUAUUUUUAGUAGAGACGAGAUUUCACCAUGUUGGCCAGGAUGGUCUCGGUAUCUUGAUCUUGUGAUCCGCCUGCCUUGGCCUCCCAAAGUGGUGGGAUUAUAGGCGUGAACCACCAGCGCCUGGCCUAUGGCACAGUUUUAAAAUUGCAUUUGCCUAGAAAGUGGACUGCUGUAUAUAGACCAAGUGUUGGGCUAUAUGACUCCAUUGUCUUAGGCUAUUUGGGGUUGGAGGAAGGAAGAGGGGUGAAGUAGAAAAGGAACAAGCUAAUAAAUGUUUUUUAAAAAGUAGAAUUUAAAACAAAAUCACGUUCAGCUGAACACCAGAACUCAACACCAGGAUAAAAAUCCAAUUUUCAAAGAGCUAGAAGAUCAAGCUAAGCACUUAUUGUAUUUUGCUGAACAUUAAAAUUAUAUAAAUGUACUACAGUUGCCUCAAGAUGUUAAAAAGUCAGCUUUUCAAAUCUAGUCAUGGCCUACUCAUAUGAUAGACCCAAUUCAAAUGAGCAAAAUUGAAAAGUUACACAUACAGACAACUUCUCAACCACCAGGCUGUUUAGUUUAAGUUAGAAGUCAGAAGUUCUGAGACUCUCCUUUUACCCACCUUGAGCAACCGCAGCAAGUUUUCCCUUUUCUUCAGGGCUGAGCUGCAACAUCGUAUUUAUAACAGGAAGAAGUCUCUCUCUUUCACUACCUGGUUUCAAGAAAAUGAACUGCAGCAAGACGUUCUUCAAGUAUUCCAGGAAGGAAUUCAGUUAACUACAGCAGCUGCAUGUGAAGCAUUUCAAAGGAGUUUAUGACAUCACCGUAUAAAAUCCAUUUGACACGAAAACCGGAACUCCAACUAUGAGAUAGUUUCAAAGCUGCAUUUGCCUAGAAAGUGGAUUGCUGCAUAUGAACCAAGUGUUGGGCUAUAUGACUCCAUUGUCCUAAGCUAUUUGGGGUUGGAAGGAAGAGGGGUGAAGUAGAAAAGCAACAAGCUAAUACAAGAGGAGAAAAAGUAGAUGAGACACAUCAAGAAAUUCUCACGAGAAACAGAUGAAGAGGUGGAAAUGAGUCAGUCCAGCAGCUUACCAAGUAUCACUGACAAGAGGAGAGGAUGCAUCCUGUGUAAAUACUGGAGUUCUUGUCUCAGAAGCACAGGGUAUCAUGGAAAUGGAGGUGAAAGCUGGGGAACUGAUGGAACGUCUCCAUGAGGAGCAACUAACUGGAGCCAUGGGUUGGUACCAACAUGUUCCCUCUGCCUUCUACUUUCGAUAGAAACUAAGCCAGUAUGGCAUGGGGCUCUGAAAAUGGGCUGAGGGGAACAUCGGUAGCCUCCACUAACCCUCUGCCCCUACGCUGUUCCUAAAGUCCCAGGCAGUUAAGACGUCCACAGUGAACGGCACUUAAUCAAAAGUUCAGACACAGUGAAAAUUCAGGAAUAUAAGACAAUGUAAAACACUAUCAGAGAAAUGAGGCAAAGAAUGAUAUAAAAAAGGUAAUAGGAUGUUCAAGUCUUUGAGGAAGAUUUCCAGGUUGAAACCAAGCCAUAGCUUUUAGUAUAUUUUCAUUUUAGGUUAGGCAAGAAAGCGAACUUUGUCCUCAAACCUAGGACCAUUUAAAAAAGUGACAAUAAAGAAGACUAAGAAAUCAUGAAGAGAGUAUAAAUUUAUGAAAAUAUAACAUUUGGCCAGGCUUGGUGGCUCAUGCCUGUAAUCCCAACACUUUGGGAGGCUGAGGCAGGCAGAUCACGAGGUCAGGAGAUUCAGACCGUCCUGGCCAACAUGGUGAAACCGUGUCUCUAGUAAAAUAAAAAAAAUUAGCCGGGCAUGGUGGUGCGUGCCUGCAGUCCCAGCUACUCGGGAGGCUGAGGCAGGGGAAUCGCUUGAACCUGGGAGGCGGAGAUUGCAGUGAGCUGAGAUUGCACCACUGCACCCCAAACCUGGUGACAGAGCGAGACUCUAUCUCAAAAAAAAAAAAAAAAAAAAAAAAAAAAAGAAAAUAUAA